rnacentral:rRNA from 1 species
GUACACUCCUGCGGGAGGCAGCAGUGGGGAAUUUUGGACAAUGGGCGAAAGCCUGAUCCAGCAAUGCCGCGUGUGUGAAGAAGGCCUUCGGGUUGUAAAGCACUUUUGUCCGGAAAGAAAUCCUUGGCUCUAAUACAGUCGGGGGAUGACGGUACCGGAAGAAUAAGCACCGGCUAACUACGUGCCAGCAGCCGCGGUAAUACGUAGGGUGCGAGCGUUAAUCGGAAUUACUGGGCGUAAAGCGUGCGCAGGCGGUUUGCUAAGACCGAUGUGAAAUCCCCGGGCUCAACCUGGGAACUGCAUUGGUGACUGGCAGGCUAGAGUAUGGCAGAGGGGGGUAGAAUUCCACGUGUAGCAGUGAAAUGCGUAGAGAUGUGGAGGAAUACCGAUGGCGAAGGCAGCCCCCUGGGCCAAUACUGACGCUCAUGCACGAAAGCGUGGGGAGCAAACAGGAUUAGAAACCCGGGUAGUCC